rnacentral:rRNA from 1 species
GACGAACGCUGGCGGCGUGCCUAAUACAUGCAAGUAGAACGCACAGUUUAUACCGUAGCUUGCUACACCAUAAACUGUGAGUUGCGAACGGGUGAGUAACGCGUAGGUAACCUGCCUGGUAGCGGGGGAUAACUAUUGGAAACGAUAGCUAAUACCGCAUAAUAUUGAUUAUUGCAUGAUAAUUGAUUGAAAGAUGCUAUUGCAUCACUACCAGAUGGACCUGCGUUGUAUUAGCUAGUAGGUGAGGUAACGGCUCACCUAGGCGACGAUACAUAGCCGACCGGGGAGGGUGAUCGGCCACACUGGGACUGAGACACGGCCCAGACUCCUACGGGAGGCAGCAGUAGGGAAUCUUCGGCAAUGGACGAAAGUCUGACCGAGCAACGCCGCGUGAGUGAAGAAGGUUUUCGGAUCGUAAAGCUCUGUUGUAAGAGAAGAACGGGUGUGAGAGUGGAAAGUUCACACUGUGACGGUAUCUUACCAGAAAGGGACGGCUAACUACGUG